rnacentral:rRNA from 1 species
CUACGGGGCGCUGCAGUGAGGAAUAUUGCACAAUGGGGGGAACCCUGAUGCAGCAACGCCGCGUGGAGGAUGACGCAUUUCGGUGUGUAAACUCCUUUUAUAUGUCAAGAAAAUGACGGUAGCAUAUGAAUAAGCACCGGCUAACUCCGUGCCAGCAGCCGCGGUAAUACGGAGGGUGCAAGCGUUACUCGGAAUCACUGGGCGUAAAGGACGCGUAGGCGGGUUUGGAAAGUCAGGUUGUGAAUCCUACAGCUUAACUGUAGAACUGCACUUGAAACUUCUAAUCUAGAGGAUGGGAGGGGGAGAUGGAAUUAGUGGUGUAGGGGUAAAAUCCGUAGAUAUCACUAGGAAUACCUAAAGCGAAGGCGAUCUCCUGGAACAUUACUGACGCUAAGGCGUGAAAGCGUGGGGAGCAAACAGGAUUAGAUACCCCAGUAGUC